GUAGGGGGCAAGCGUUGUCCGGAUUUAUUGGGCGUAAAGAGCUCGUAGGCGGUUCGCUAAGUCGGGUGUGAAACCUCCAGGCUCAACCUGGAGACGCCACCCGAUACUGGUGUGACUCGAGUCCGGUAGGGGAGCGUGGAAUUCCUGGUGUAGCGGUGAAAUGCGCAGAUAUCAGGAGGAACACCAGCGGCGAAGGCGGCGCUCUGGGCCGGAACUGACGCUGAGGCACGAAAGCGUGGGGAGCAAACAGGAUUAGAUACCCUGGUAGUCCACGCCCUAAACGAUGCGGACUGGACGUUGGGCACAACUUGGUGCUCAGUGUCGAAGCUAACGCGUUAAGUCCGCCGCCUGGGGAGUACGCUCGCAAGAGUG
rnacentral:rRNA from 1 species